rnacentral:tRNA from 1 species
UGUAAUUAAGUGUAAUUGUAGCAUGUAAUAUUUUGAAUAUUAAGGAAGAGUUAAAAUCUCUAAAUUUGCAA